rnacentral:rRNA from 1 species
UACAGAGGCCUCGAGCGUUAAUCGGAAUCACUGGGCUUAAAGCGUGUGUAGGUGGUCUGUUAAGUCGGGUGUGAAAGCCCUGGGCUCAACCCAGGAAGUGCAUUCGAAACUAACAGACUUGAGUACGGGAGAGGGUCGCGGAAUUCCCGGUGUAGAGGUGAAAUUCGUAGAUAUCGGGAGGAACACCAGUGGCGAAGGCGGCGACCUGGACCGAUACUGACGCUGAGGUGCGAAAGCGUGGGGAGCAAACAGG